UUAUAUGGAGAGUUUGAUCCUGGCUCAGGACGAACGCUGGCGGCGUGCCUAAUACAUGCAAGUCGAGCGGACGGAUGGGAGCUUGCUCCCUGAAGUCAGCGGCGGACGGGUGAGUAACACGUGGGCAACCUGCCUGUAAGACUGGGAUAACUUCGGGAAACCGGAGCUAAUACCGGAUAAUGCACAGCCU
rnacentral:rRNA from 1 species